UUAUUGGUGUUCAAUUUACCAACAUACAGAAUAACCCCCAGUGCCCGUCACCCAUUCACUCCCAUUUCUUAAAAGUGCGAGAACUUCUCUAAACAAUUGAUGUUGACACCCAUCCUCGAUAAUAUAUUUGACAACAAAAUCCAGUACAUACAACAGUGUGGUGUACAAGCAUGCUAAGUUUCUCACUGCUCAGAUACAGAGACACAACUCACAUAAAAGUCUUGGGUGCUUCCCGCCUCCUCUAAGUGUGCCCAGUUGUACGUGCUGGCACAGUACACACAUACAUAAAUUUUAUAUUCACAAAACAAUUCUGUUACUGUAAUAUGCUUUGACAUUCUCUUUGCUCUUCUAUUCUCUCCCAUUGUUCUGUUCUGAAUUCUCAAAGAUUCUAAAGUAACCACUAAAUCAAUUUAAUUACCCAUUAAUGGAUUACAACUCAAAAUUUGAAAAUAAUUCCCUAAAGUAUAUGCCUAGAAGAUAUUGUGUUGGGGAAAAGAGCAUGCUUAUAUUAAACUUUACCAUAUGUUAUAAAAUUGUUCUUGAAACUCUCCAACAAUUAAUGAAAGUUUGUUUUUCUACAUGUCUUUCAUUAUUUCUUUUUAACUUUUAAUUUUGAAAUAAUUUUAUACUUACAUAAAAGUUGCAAAAAUAUUAAAUGAGAGUUUCCAUAUGUUUUCAUCUAGCUUCUUUUAAGGUUAACAUCUUAUAUAACCAUGGUGCAAUUAUUAAAACCAGGAAGCUAACAUUGGCACAAUACAAUUCUCCAAACGUCAGACUUUAACUCAAAUUUCACCAGUUUUUCCUCUAAUUUUUUUUUUUUUCCGUUCUAGGAUCCUAUUGAAGAUCCCACAUUGCAUUUAGUUGCAAUUUUUCCUUAGGCUUUUCCAAUCUGUACCAUUUCCACAGUCUUUCCUUGUCUUGACAGUUCUGAAGAAUACCGAUCUGUUAUUUUGUAGUACAUCCCUCAAUUUGGGUUUAUCUCAUGUUCUGUCAGAUUGAAAUGAGAUUAUGUGGAGGUUUUGUGAGGGGUGCAACAAGGCUACAGACAUGACAUUUCCAUGGUGCAUGGAAUCAAGAGAUUUAUGACAUCAACAUAUGUUGUUGACCUUAAUCACUUAGCUAAGGUGGUGUUUGGGAUUCUCCACGGUGAAAUUACUCUCUUUCACUUUGUAGUUAAUAAACACUUUGAGGGAAAUACUCUAAGACUAUGCAAAACCGGUUUCUCUUCAAAAUUUCAACUACUUUUAGCAUCUAUCAAUAUCAAUCCAUCUGGAACUUAUUCUUGUAUAUAUGAUAUAAGAAAACUUGUAUUGAGUUUGGGGAAACAAUCAGAAAAGAAUAUAUGAAGAUUGUGCAAGAGUGCAGCAGGUAACUUAUUCUUGGUGAUUGUGUAAUUGUAAAUAGCUCAUUUGGAUCUAUCUGUCUCUCUGUUGGAAUAACUGGCCAGAUCUCCAUGAAUAAACGACCUCCUAUAGGAAGGUAUUUGUGAAAUGAAGGAAUUUGGCAUGGGGGCAUGACCUUUAAUUUGACCCUAAAGCAAAAGAUCUAUUUGACCUUACACAACUAAUAUUUGCAAUAAAUUAGGAAUUGUAUGUUACACAGAAAACAAUUGAAAAAUAGUGUUUUAAGGAUAAGGUCAAUAACAAUGCAAAGUAAACAUACAGUACAUGGAAAAUUAUGAAAACAAGCUCUUAAAUGAGUAGUUGUGACAGUAUAUUAGUUCUAGAAAUGGUCUAGAAGAGUAAGUAAUCCAAUCCUUCUCAUUUUACUUAUGUAAAAUCAAGUAAGAAGAUAAAUGCCUGAACAAAGACCACAGACAACUACACUUUUCCAGUUACCAUUUUUUUGUUGUUGCUGCUAUUGUUUUUUAAUUGCAGAAAGACUAUUGUCCUUAUCAGUAGGUCUUUAUUUUUCACUGAAAAGUACAGUAAUUGGUAAACACAUGCCUGACAAAACUAGCCACAGAAAUGAGACAGUUUUGUACAUAGUAGAAUGUAAUUGGGAGCUACUCUAUUAUAGGUCUAUUUCAGGAGCAAAUGAGUGUGGUCAAAAAGUCAAGAAUCUAUAUAUAGUUUCAGAAAAUUAGGAGCAGUAGAUGUUUGUUUUCUAAGUGAGUAAGAAGUAUCCCAGAAAGGGAUAAUAUAGCUGGAUUGUGGGGGUUCAAGCAGUGAAGGUAAUUUAAAUUCCAAGACUGUGAACAAGGACAAAGAAGAAUUUAUAAAACAAUAAAGAAAGAUCACUACUUAUAGAGUUGAAUCUUCUUAUCCUUAGCCUGAGAUAGCUCAAUGUCCUGCUUCAAUAUACCAUUGUUUAUGGAUACACAGAAUUUUAGUUCUAAUCAGCUAAAAAAACUGUUGAGCACCUACAUUGUAUGGUCACUCCACUCAGAAUUUUGGCUUUUCCAAAAAUGCCCAAACUACUGCAUCGGUUCUCAAGGAAUAGAAAAAAAUGUAGAUGCAAAACAAACAAACUAUGAUAUAGUACUUAGCUGACCUGGACUCCUCUUCUGGAAAACAUUCACAUUCAUCAAACAAUAAAUGAAUAGAGUUUUUAGAAAAAAAAUUUAUAGUUCAGUCAUGAAGGACACAAAUUACUUAUUCUGUUCAUUGUCACUGCUACUUGAAAAAGACUAACCAGCAUACGAUGAUCUUUUUUUUCUCCAUUGGUGGAAUUACACAUAAAAUUUACCCCUAAAAUUUUCUCUAGUGGUUCUGUAACUCUUACAUUUGAAUAGUAUUUAAUUUUUUUCUUCUCUUCAGGGUAUCAAGAAUCAACAUUGUUAAUGUGCUUGAUAUUGCUGACUUUAGUAAUGAAUGUUUGGAUAUUAAUCUCGUUUUUAUUAAAAGGAUAAAAGUAAU